rnacentral:rRNA from 1 species
GACCUUCGAGAGAACCGAGUUGUAAUCUCUAGAAAUGUUUUCCGCGUUGGACCGCACACAAGUCUGUUGGAAUACAGCGGCAUAGUGGUGAGACCCCCGUAUAUGGUGCGGACGCCCAGCGCUUUGUGAUACAUUUUCGAAGAGUCGAGUUGUUUGGGAAUGCAGCUCAAAUUGGGUGGUAAAUUCCAUCUAAAGCUAAAUAUUGGCGAGAGACCGAUAGCGAACAAGUACCGUGAGGGAAAGAUGAAAAGCACUUUGGAAAGAGAGUUAACAGUACGUGAAAUUGUUGGAAGGGAAACGCUUGAAGUCAGACUUGCUUGCCGAGCAAUCGGUUUGCAGGCCAGCAUCAGUUUUCCGGGAUGGAUAAUGGUAGAGAGAAGGUAGCAGUUUCGGCUGUGUUAUAGCUCUCUGCUGGAUACAUCUUGGGGGACUGAGGAACGCAGUGUGCCUUUGGCGGGGGUUUCGACCUCUUCACACUUAGGAUGCUGGUGGAAUGGCUUUAAACGAC